rnacentral:misc_RNA from 1 species
GAUGAAGAACGUAGCGAAAUGCGAUGAGUAAUGUGAAUUGCAGAAUUCAGUGAAUCAUCGAAUCUUUGAACGCACCUUGCACCCUUUGGCAUUCUGAAGGGUAUGCUCGUUUGAGUGUCAUUGUACUCUCACACUCCCGAUCUUUGCAUUGGGAGCAGUGGACUUGGGUUUGCUGCUUCACCGUCGCUUACCUCAAAUAGGUUAGUGCAACUCUUGGUUGGACAUAGUACGGCGUGAUAAGUGUUCUUCGCCGGUGCCUCGCAAAGAGGGUGGCCGAUCGGGAUGUUGUGCUCCAAACCGUCUUCGGACAAUCUCUGACGACUUGACCUCAAAUCGAGUAAGACUACCCGCUGAACUUAAGCAUAUCAAUAAGCGGAGGA